UACGUAGGGUCCAAGCGUUGUCCGGAAUUACUGGGUAUAAAGGGUGCGCAGGCGGAUCUGUGCGUCGGAGGUUAAAGACCCGGGCUCAACCCGGGAAGUGCCUUCGAUACGGCAGGUCUUGAGUGUGAGAGAGGAUAGUAGAAUUCCUGGUGUAGCGGUGAAAUGCGUAGAUAUCAGGAGGAAUACCAGUGGCGAAGGCGGCUAUCUGGCUCAUAACUGACGCUUAGGCACGAAAGCGUGGGGAUCAAACAGG
rnacentral:rRNA from 1 species